rnacentral:rRNA from 1 species
CGGUCCUCCCGGGGAUGGUGGGGGACGACUGUUGGGACCGCCUCUGCUAAAGAGGAGGAAGGAAUGGGCAACGGUAGGUCAGCAUGCCCCGAAUUAUCUGGGCUACACGCGGGCUACAAUGGGUGGGACAAUGGGUAUCGACACCGAAAGGUGAAGGCAAUCUCCUAAACCCAUCCGUAGUUCGGAUUGUGGGCUGCAACUCGCCCACAUGAAGCUGGAAUCUGUAGUAAUCGUGUCUCAAAAUGGCACGGUGAAUAUGUCCCUGCUCCUU